UUCCAUCUCCAAAGCAAUGGCGAAGAACAUGAACAAGAAGAAAGAUAAACGAUUCCGCUUCAAUGGACAUCACUGAAGAGCCCGUUUCAGAUUUGCCUCAAGCAAUGGACACCUCAGAGUCGGGGGCUCACAACCGAAGUGGUGGUGCUUCCAGUUUGCUUGAGAAAUUUUCCCAUGUUUGGAGGUCAAAACAACUUGUGUAGGCAACCAUGCAUAAUUUCAGAGUUGAAGUUGAUGGUGUCUUUUGAGCCAAUGGAUUUUUCUAGAUAUUAGAAGUGCAAUGGAAAAUUAACGAAUUGAUCUAGACAAAGAGUCAAACAUUUUUUCUGUUGGAUGCUGGAAGUGCCUCAUAUAAUUAUUGACUAAGUUGCAAGAUGUGGUGUCAUCAAAUGCAGAGAAGAGAGAACUCAAGUGAUGCACAUCGACCAUUUUCUGUGGUGCUUUUUUGUCUUAAGAAGGGUGGUCUAAUUUUGCCUUGUUUGCUUUUGGUUUGUAAUAUGUUUCUCAUUGGCUGUUCUUGGCUUUUUUUCUUUCUUUCCUUAUGUAUCUCCUAGAACUUGGCUUUUGCCUUGUGGAAUUGUGGAUGUUUAUUUGUAUGUAUUAAUGGUGGAUUUGUGUGUAGUGAAUUGAAUUUCUAAUUUCGAGUCCUGUGGAUGA